rnacentral:rRNA from 1 species
GAUGAACGCUAGCUACAGGCUUAACACAUGCAAGUCGAGGGGAAACGACAUCGAAAGCUUGCUUUUGAUGGGCGUCGACCGGCGCACGGGUGAGUAACGCGUCUCCAACCUGCCCAUCACUUGGGAAUAACCUUGCGAAAGUAAGACUAAUACCCAAUGAUAUCCCACGAAGGCAUCGGAAUGGGAUUAAAGAUUUAUCGGUGAUGGAUGGGGAUGCGUCUGAUUAGCUUGUUGGCGGGGUAACGGCCCACCAAGGCAACGAUCAGUAGGGGUUCUGAGAGGAAGGUCCCUGACAUUGGAACAGAGACACGGUCCAAACUCCUACGGGAGGCAGCAGUGAGGAAUAUUGGGCAAUGGGCGAGAGCCUGAGCCAGCCAAGUAGCGUGCAGGAAGACGGCCCUAUGGGUUGUAAACUGCUUUUAUAAGGGAAUAAAGUGGGUCACGUGUGACUUUUUGCAUGUACCUUAUGAAUAAGGACCGGCUAAUUCCGUG